AAGUCGUAACAAGGUUUCCGUAGGUGAACCUGCGGAAGGAUCAUUAUCAUAACAUCCAUGUUAAACUAUUGUGAACCGUUGCUCCUGUGAACGUGCAGCUUGAUUGCGCAUCAGGUUGUCGUUUGCUCGAGCCAUGUUAUCAUACACACUUGAACCCUUUUAUACCUUUGUACUAACCAUUUCAUACUCUUGGCUCAUAACCUUGAGAUGAGAUAAAUACGAAACAUAAGAACAACUCUUAGCAACGGAUAUCUUGGCUCUC
rnacentral:misc_RNA from 1 species